CAAGAAGAAAAUCUUCAUGGGCCUCAUCCCCUACGACCAGAGUGGCUUCGUCAGUGCCAUCCGGCAGGUCAUCACCACCCGCAAGCAGGCAGUGGGACCUGGUGGUGUCAACUCAGGCCCAGUCCAGAUCGUCAACAACAAGUUUCUGGCAUGGAGUGGCGUCAUGGAGUGGCAGGAGCCCAGGCCUGAGCCCAACAGUCGGUCCAAGAGGUGGCUGCCAUCCCACGUCUACGUGAACCAGGGGGAGAUCCUGUGAGUGCUGGGCUAGGGGGUGGAGGCAGCAUCCAGGGGAGCUGGGGCUUCCUGACCCUCGUCCCCUUGUGCCCCACAGGAGGACCGAGCAGUGGCCAAGGAAGCUGUACAUGCAGCUCAUCCCACAGCAGCUGCUGACCACCCUGGUGCCGCUGUUCCGGAACUCACGCCUGGUCCAGUUCCACUUCACCAAGGACCUGGAGACACUGAAGAGCCUGUGCCGGAUCAUGGACAACGGCUUCGUGAGUGGUGCCAGCAGAUGCUGGGGAGGGGCCGGCCAGGGCAGAGCGAGCCAGGACCGCUCACAGGGGCGGACAUGGGAGAGGAACAGAGCACCAUGUCCCGGACCAGCUGGGGAGAGAGGGCGGCUAGUGUGGGCGUGACUUCUGGGGGCUCUCUGCUGUCCCCACGGCACUGGACGGGGCACUGACCCUGGUUCUGCAGGGGCCUGC
rnacentral:sRNA from 1 species